GGUAAUUCUACUUUGAAAAUCAGGACAUAGUUUUUCUGGCCACUCUCUUUUGAGGUAAAUCAGGAAGGUGAAAUUAGCAAUGUAAACUCUGAACAUCAGGCUAAUAAUUUGUCAGGGGUCUGAUACUCUGAAAAUUUGUUUGUCACCAAUAAUGUCCAUUAACUGACUGUCUUGUGUGUUCUUUGUAGGAAGCAAGAUCUAGAUGGCAGAAUAUGAGAAACUUAGACAAGAAAUUAUAGAACAAAAUAAAAUCAGGAUGAAGGAUUUUGGGGUUACAUCCAUAGCUUAUGAAAUGAAACAGUCGAUGAAGGGAUCGAAACAAACGAAAAAAAGGAAGAAGGUGACUAAAGAUACUGACGAGUAUACACCUGAUGAAGAGGGUGAACUGAACCACUCAAGUGAAGAGGAUGAAAAUGAGAGAAGAAAACCGGUGUAAACAUGAGGUCUCGUUCAAAGAAAGUGGUUCUUUUUUUUUUUUUUUUUUUUUUGUGACAACUUAAUUUUGUGAAUCAUAAUUGUUAGAAAAUCAUGUAAUAUUUGUUUAAUGAUGUUCAUGAAUACUUAAUUUCAGGUUGUGGCAUUGAGAGGGAAGAUAACCACAAACAUUAAGGACACGGCAGGUGUCUCUUUGACUAAGAUGCGUCUUCAAAACACCGAGAGACAACACUUAGAUCACAUGGCUAGUUAAUUUCAGGUUGUGGCAUUGAGAGGAAAGUGAUUUAUUACUACGAUGACAACUACAACCUAUUAACAUGGCUAGUUCACAGGUGCAUUUAGGGAGUUCACAAGCACAAAGUUUUUCACAACCACAAAGAUUUGGACAUGACUUACAGGAAAAUUACGAGAAUCAUAUGAGUUCUUAAAGCCCCAUAAAGACCAAAUUGUGAAAGAAAUUGUAGUAGAAUUAAUCAAGACGCUCAAGCAAAUUGAUCCUAAAGUGUUGGAUACUUUGACUCGAUCACUUGAAAAUGUGUCAUCCAAUCCAGAACUUACACAUCAUAUUCCCAUUGUACACUCUAAUGAACAACAGCGAAAUGAGGAUCAAUUGGAUCAAGAUGAAGAAUUAGGAUGGCAAUUGAUGAUGCUACAAGAACUUACUUUUACCGCUGUUUUGCUGUUGCUACCGCUGUUUUGCUGCUGUUUUUUGCUGUUACUGCUGUUUUUUCGCUGCUACUGUUGCUGACUCUUGCUACUUCGGUUUGCUGCCACUACUCUCUGCUACUGCUGGUUGCUGCCAACUGCUGUCUGCUAUUGCUGGAAGCUGCCACUCCUGUUUGCUACUGCUGGUUGCUGCUAAAGACUGCGGCUAGCAGCUUCUGUUACUGCUUAUGCCAUUUUGCUAGCUGCGUAGCUGCUGCCAUUCUACUAGCUAGCUGUGUAGCUGCUGCUAUACGCUGUUAUUAAUGCUAUUUAUUGUUAUCGCUGACUUUUUUGAAAUUUGGAAGUUUUUUGUUUUUCCUUACUUUUUCCAAGCUAGAGAUCGAACUUAAUUUUCUUUGUGUUUGGAUUAUUAUAUUGUUUGG